rnacentral:rRNA from 1 species
CCUCGAUGGCGACCGGCGCACGGGUGAGUAACGCGUAUCCAACCUUCCCCCUCGCUCAGGGAUAGCCCGGUGAAAACCGGAUUAAUACCUGAUGGUUUCAUUUGACGGCAUCAGAUGAUGAAUAAAGAAAUUCGGCAGGGGAGUGGGGAUGCGUCUGAUUAGCUUGUUGGCGGGGUAACGGCCCACCAAGGCAACGAUCAGUAGGGGUUCUGAGAGGAAGGUCCCCCACAUUGGAACUGAGACACGGCCCAAACUCCUACGGGAGGCAGCAGUGGGGGAUAUUGCACAAUGGAGGAAACUCUGAUGCAGCGAACCGCCGCGUGAGUGAAGAAGUAUUUCGGUAUGUAAAGCUCUAUCAGCAGGGAAGAUAAUGACAGUACCUGACCAAGAAGCCCCGGCUAACUACGUGCCAGCAGCGGC